rnacentral:rRNA from 1 species
UACGAAGGGGGCUAGCGUUGCUCGGAAUCACUGGGCGUAAAGCGCACGUAGGCGGCUUUCUAAGUCAGGGGUGAAAUCCUGGAGCUCAACUCCAGAACUGCCUUUGAUACUGGAGAGCUUGAGUCCGGAAGAGGUGAGUGGAACUCCGAGUGUAGAGGUGAAAUUCGUAGAUAUUCGGAAGAACACCAGUGGCGAAGGCGACUCACUGGACACGUAUUGACGCUGAGGUGCGAAAGCGUGGGGAGCAAACAGG